UGCUACCAUUCGCUCCUCAGGACGAACCCUGGGACCGAGAAAUGGAAGUGUUCAGCGGCGGCGGCGCGAGCAGCGGCGAGUUUGCUGGCUGGGAACAUUUUGGGGGACAGCUGCGGACUCCAGCUCGCUGUUGAACCCCGGGCGCUUUACGAACCCAGUGCAACAAACACACCAAGAAAGUUGGAUCCUUUUCUGAUAACUUAAUCGACUGCGUACUACUCCAGUAGAGGCCACCAUACACCUCCUAAAAAUAGUUGGUGAAAUUGAUUCACAGUAGGAUAUUUUGAGUAUGUUUUAGGUAUUGUAGAGAUUUAACAAUGGGUCUCUCUACCUCAGCAAUUUGGAAAAAUACUCGAGUGGAAAUUGUUAAUCCCUAUGAAGUAAAACGAAAGGUGAAGGUAAAUGGUCUUAAAAUGGUUGAUGAGCCAAUGGAAGAGGGAGAAGCAGAUUCUUGUCAUGAUGAAGGAGUUGUUAAAGAAAUCCCUAUUACUCAUCAUGUUAAGGAAGGCUAUGAGAAAGCAGAUCCUGCACAGUUUGAGUUGCUCAAGGUUCUUGGUCAGGGGUCAUUUGGAAAG
rnacentral:sRNA from 1 species